rnacentral:misc_RNA from 1 species
AAAUUUACCAUAGCCUUGAGAGAAAUUGGUACAUACAAAGAAGUUCUUCGAUCUCAGGUUGAGCACAUACUAAAUGACAGAUUACUACAAUUUGUCAAUAUUGAUUUGCACGAGGUCAAGGAAGCAAGGAAACGUUUUGACAAGGCAAGCCUUCUUUAUGAUCAGGCUCGUGAGAAAUUUUUAUCACUGAGGAAGGGCACGAAGACUGAUGUAGCUACUCUGUUAGAGGAGGAGCUUCAUACUGCAAGGUCUGCAUUUGAGCAAGCUCGUUUUAAUCUAGUGACUGCUCUUUCUAAUGUGGAAGCAAAAAAGAGGUU